AUGACUACCUUGGAUACGACCAAAAAUAUUGCAUACAUGCAUAUUUGUCAGGUGAUUUCUAGUGCAAACUAUUCAAUAAUCUAUUUAUGUUAUCCAGAACAAAAAUACUUCACACACUUUUGUGUUUUGUCUAAUUGCAGGUGUAUGGGACAUUUGUACAAUCCACAUAUGAAGAUAAGGCAAAAGGAGAAGUUUAGGUUCUGUUCAAAAAGUCCUCUCACGUCACUUUUGGGCCAAGAGAAGAUAGAGUCCAAGUCUCUCACGUUCUGGAUUCAGAUUCGGACUGCACAGACAUACCUGACUCAAAACGCCAACAACUUUUUCAUACGGACUCCGAAUUGGGUGAUUCUUUUUUUGUUGGAAACUAGAUUUUGUGCUCUUUCCAACCCAAUUGGAUUCACCUUUAAAUUCGUCCGGAGCAUUGAGUUAUGGUCGAAACAAUCUGACGUUGCACCAGAAUCCGAGUCAAACUACAAGUCCAAAGGUGUUGCAUCACCUCCACUUGGGCCCAUGAGCCUUGUACGACCUAGGGUUGGUUUUAGGCUGCCUUGGGACGUCCUCCCACCUCCUUGGCCGCCACCCCUUGCUCCUAUAUAA
rnacentral:rRNA from 1 species